rnacentral:rRNA from 1 species
GAUGAACGCUAGCUACAGGCUUAACACAUGCAAGUCGAGGGGUAACGAGAGGGAAGCUUGCUUUCCUUGUCGACGACCGGCGGAUGGGUGAGUAACGCGUAUCCAACCUGCCCUUCAGUAAGGGAUAGCCUUUCGAAAGAAAGAAUAAUACCUUAUGUGGUCGUCAGAAGACAUCAGACGACGAUCAAAGAUUUAUCGCUGAAGGAUGGGGAUGCGUCCCAUUAGGCAGUAGGCGGGGUAACGGCCCACCUAACCUACGAUGGGUAGGGGUUCUGAGAGGAAGGUCCCCCACAUUGGAACUGAGACACGGUCCAAACUCCUACGGGAGGCAGCAGUGAGGAAUAUUGGUCAAUGGCCGUAAGGCUGAACCAGCCAAGUAGCGUGCAGGAUGACGGCCCUAUGGGUUGUAAACUGCUUUUAAACGGGGAUAAAGUGAGCCACGUGUGGUUUAUUGCAGGUACCGUUUGAAUAAGGACCGGCUAAUUCCGUGCCAGCAGCCGCGGUAAAGGUAGUACA